rnacentral:rRNA from 1 species
CAGAGGUCUCAAGCGUUGUUCGGAUUCAUUGGGCGUAAAGGGUGCGUAGGUGGUGCCGUAAGUCAGGUGUGAAAUCUCGGGGCUCAACCCCGAAACUGCACUUGAUACUGCGGUGCUCGAGUACUGGAGAGGAGAUUGGAAUUUACGGUGUAGCAGUGAAAUGCGUAGAUAUCGUAAGGAAGACCAGUGGCGAAGGCGAAUCUCUGGACAGUUACUGACACUGAGGCACGAAGGCCAGGGGAGCAAACGGGAUUAGAUACCCCGGUAGUCCUGGCAGUAAACGGUGCGCGUUUGGUGUGGGAGGAUUCGACCCCUUCUGUGCCGGAGCUAACGCGUUAAACGCGCCGCCUGGGGAGUACGGUCGCAAGAUUA